rnacentral:rRNA from 1 species
CGCCCUUAGAGUUUGAUCCUGGCUCAAGAUGACCGCUAGCGACAGGCUUAACACAUGCAAGUCGAGGGGCAGCACAGGUAGCAAUACCGGGUGGCGACCGGCGCACGGGUGAGUAACGCGUAUGCAACUUACCUAUCAGAGGGGGAUAACCCGGCGAAAGUCGGACUAAUACCGCAUGAAGCAGGCGCCCCGCAUGGGGAUAUUUGCUAAAGAUUCAUCGCUGAUAGAUAGGCAUGCGUUCCAUUAGGCAGUUGGCGGGGUAACGGCCCACCAAACCGACGAUGGAUAGGGGUUCUGAGAGGAAGGUCCCCCACAUUGGUACUGAGACACGGACCAAACUCCUACGGGAGGCAGCAGUGAGGAAUAUUGGUCAAUGGCCGAGAGGCUGAACCAGCCAAGUCGCGUGAGGGAUGAAGGUUCUAUGGAUCGUAAACCUCUUUUAUAAGGGAAUAAAGUGCGGGACGUGUCCCGUUUUGUAUGUACCUUAUGAAUAAGGAUCGGCUAACUCCGUGCCAGCAGCCGCGGUAAUACGGAGGAUCCGAGCGUUAUCCGGAUUUAUUGGGUUUAAAGGGUGCGUAGGCGGCCUUUUAAGUCAGCGGUGAAAGUCUGUGGCUCAACCAUAGAAUUGCCGUUGAAACUGGGGGGCUUGAGUAUGUUUGAGGCAGGCGGAAUGCGUGGUGUAGCGGUGAAAUGCAUAGAUAUCACGCAGAACCCCGAUUGCGAAGGCAGCCUGCCAAGCCAUGACUGACGCUGAUGCACGAAAGCGUGGGGAUCAAACAGGAUUAGAUACCCUGGUAGUCCACGCAGUAA